rnacentral:rRNA from 1 species
GAGAAGGGAUGACACAGUAGGAUAAGCUAAGCACACUGUUGGUUAUGUGUGCCCAAGCAUUGAGGCAGUCAAAGUAGGCAAAUCCGCUUUGAUAAUGCUGGGAUGUGAUGGGGAGCGAAAUUUAGUAGCGAAGUAGCUGAUUUCACACUGUCAAGAAAAGUCUCUAUCGAGGUUAAAGGUACCCGUACCGCAAACCGACACAGGUGGGUGAGGAGAGUAUCCUAAGGCCAGCGAGAGAACUGUUGUUAAGGAACUCGGCAAAAUGACCCCGUAACUUAGGGAUAAGGGGUGCCACCAUCAGGUGGCCGCAGAGAAUAGGCCCAAGCGACUGUUUACCAAAAACAUAGGUUUCUGCUAAGUCGCAAGACGAUGUAUAGGAGCUGACGCCUGCCCGGUGCUGGAAGGUUAAGGGGAUCUGUUAGAGCAAUCGAAGCAGUGAACUUAAGCCCCAGUAAACGGCGGCCGUAACUAUAACGGUCCUAAGGUAGCGAAAUUCCUUGUCGGGUAAGUUCCGACCCGCACGAAAGGCGUAACGAUUUGGGCACUGUCUCAACAACAGACUCGGUGAAAUUGUAAUUCCGGUGAAGAUGCCGGAUACCUGCGACAGGACGGAAAGACCCCAUGGAGCUUUACUGUAGCUUGACAUUG